rnacentral:rRNA from 1 species
AACGAACGCUGGCGGCAGGCUUAACACAUGCAAGUCGAGCGCAUCCUUCGGGGUGAGCGGCAGACGGGUGAGUAACGCGUGGGAAUCUACCUUUUGCUACGGAAUAGCUCCGGGAAACUGGAAUUAAUACCGUAUGUGCCCUUAGGGGGAAAGAUUUAUCGGCAAGAGAUGAGCCCGCGUUGGAUUAGCUAGUUGGUGGGGUAAAGGCCUACCAAGGCGACGAUCCAUAGCUGGUCUGAGAGGAUGAUCAGCCACAUUGGGACUGAGACACGGCCCAAACUCCUACGGGAGGCAGCAGUGGGGAAUAUUGGACAAUGGGCGCAAGCCUGAUCCAGCCAUGCCGCGUGAGUGAUGAAGGCCUUAGGGUUGUAAAGCUCUUUCACCGGAGAAGAUAAUGACGGUAUCCGGAGAAGAAGUCCCGGCUAACUUCGUG